UGGCAUGAGGGAGACGUAUAAAAAGGUCAGGCAGACCAUGAGCAGCAAUCUCUUCAUAACGGUCCAGAAAUGGCGGCAUCAAUUACGACCAUUUCCGAGGGUAUAUACACAAAUCUGGACUCUCCUGACCACCAUGUGUACAAUGAAAUGAAUCAGAUUACCCCGAAGAAAACAGGACAAAGCUCUCCUCUCUACAGACAGGCUGCAGUGGCUCUGGGGCUGCUGUGUGUCAUUUUACUGACUGCCACCAUCACCCUGUGUGUCCUCUACAUGAGAUCCCUGGAUGAGCUCAAGGGCCACAAUGGCAUGUGCUGUUAUGAAAGAAACCAACUACAGAAAAACUACAACAGUCUAUCUACUGAUAAAGAACGGCUACAGAAAGACUAUGACAACCUGA